rnacentral:rRNA from 1 species
CAGUAGCCGCGGUAAUACGUAGGGCGCAAGCGUUAAUCGGAAUUACUGGGCGUAAAGCGUGCGCAGGCGGUUAUAUAAGUCAGAUGUGAAAUCCCCGGGCUCAACCUGGGAACUGCAUUUGGGACUGUAUGGCUAGAGUGUGUCAGAGGGGGGUAGAAUUCCACGUGUAGCAGUGAAAUGCGUAGAGAUGUGGAGGAAUACCGAUGGCGAAGGCAGCCCCCUGGGCCAAUACUGACGCCCAUGCACGAAAGCGUGGGGAGCAAACAGGAUUAGAUACCCCCGUAGUCCCUGUCUCUUAUAC